CCCCCCCCCCCCCCCCCCCCCCCCCCACAAGUUUGUUGCCCAGGGGCCCCCACAGCCCUUGAUCCGGCCCUGGUGAUAGGAGCCUGUCCUGGUGAAGAGCCUGCAGGAAAGUGAUAAUGAUCCUGUGUGUGCGACUCUGCAAACAUUGCGAUAAAAGGAUGGAAAUGAGAAUGGGGGCUGCCCGGGAGGCUAACUGCUUCUUCAGGAAGUCUUAGCUAUUGGGGCCAAGCUCCAAAAAGUUGGGCUGACUUCAAGUGCCGGCUGAAAAACAAGAUGUCUGCGCGGUGGAAAUCUGCCAGGGAGACAGGGGGAGGGAGAAACCCUGAGAGUCUGGAAUACACCUCCUUGGAGGAGCAAGCCUUGGUCUGUGUGGCGGAUGAGGAGGUGGCAGGUGUGUGUGAAAUGGACACAGACAUGCCUGCCCUUGAAUCUCCACAUGCCUUGCCAGCACAGGAGGUGCAGCUCACUGAGGCUGGGGAGAGUGCUAACGACGACAGCUACAGUGUGGGCCCAGAAAGCACACCAUCCCGCCAACACACUGAGGCACCCCUCCAACCCAGUCUCCAGGAGCUUCUGGUGCAAAUUGAGCACCAAGGGAGAAACAACGCUGAGUUCCAAGACCAGAUGCUCCUGGAGGUCCAUUAGCUUACCUACACUGUGCAACAACGCAUGUGUGAUAUCUCCUCUAUUGCCGAAGCUAGGCGUGACAUAUCCGCCACUAUUGGUCAAGGCAUGAAGACCAUUGCAGCCCUCCUUGGCCAGACUUUCAGGGAGGCCACAACACCUGCCCCAUUCCCUAGCCCUGCUCAGGAACAAGAUCUCACUGGGCAGGACCCUCGCAGAACCACGCGCAGAGCCAACUCUGAAGAACAACCUCUUCAGCCGGCCAAAAAAAGGGGCAGACGGUGAUUUUUCUCCAGAUGCGGCCCUUGGUUCCAGCGCCCAUGUUCUUUUUUCCAAAAUGAAUUUUGUCAAUGGCUUGUGGGACAAGAAUGUGCAACUUCAUCCUGCCAAAUGAAGGUUGGCGUCUUCUCUUUUCUUUACCUGUCUGUGAUGCAGUAGGCUAUGAACUUGCCCCACCUUCCUCUUCAGUUUGUGGGACUGAUUGUUGCGUUUGGGUACUGAGACCAGUUUAUUUGUCUGUUUGCCUCACAUAUUCCUCAGCCAGGGUACUGAGACCAGCUUUUUGUUGUGUUUGUUGAAGAGAUGGGGGUAACUGACUACUGGGCACUGUAAUCCUCUUUUCUGCAAAGCCAUGUGCUUGUUGCUGUGCCAUUUGUCAUAGCCUUUCUUUUUGUUCUCUUUGUCUUUAUGUUAUGAUUUCUAAAUUUAUGAUUUAUUAUUAAAAACUUUA